GUACGUGAAACCGUUCAGGGGUAAACGGGAGAAAUCCUGAAUUCGAAGGGGUUGGAUUCAAUUUUGACGAAUGGAUAGGCCACUUACCCCGGCAUGAGAACGCUGGUCGCCCACGGUGAUUCAUUUCGCUUGUGGUGUCGUUACUGGUACUCACCGCGGUGGUGUCGCUCUGGCAUCGACAGAGUGCACUUCCACCCUAGUAGAAACGUCGCGACCCGUUGGGUGCCGGUCUAAGGCCCGGGAUGGCAGACCACGUGUCCUGAGCGUGGAAACGCACAGGCGGGUGGACUCCUGGUGACCCGGCCGGCUGCUCGACGGUAUGACCAGAGGAGUCGAUCCGCUGAUUGGGAAACACUAUGGUUGUGUAGCGUCCGGCCCGGCGCCAACACGUGCGGGUGGUGCAAACCGGGGGUGUCCGUGCAUGUGUCACGGUCCCGGCCCCGCCGCGUUGUUGGAUCUGUCGGUGACCUCGGACUGGAUCAGUACUCCCGUCGGCGACGCCCACCUUCGGAUGG
rnacentral:rRNA from 1 species